rnacentral:antisense_RNA from 1 species
AAAGAUCGCAGCCUUCGGCAGCUCCUACAGGGUGUACAUCAAUCUCCUGUAGGAGCUGCCGAAGGCUGCGAUCUUU